rnacentral:rRNA from 1 species
CCUUGUUAUAGCCAUACCACCCUGAACAGGUUGAUCUCCUCUGAUUCUGGAAGCUAAGUAGGGUCAGAUCGGGUUAGCAUCAGUGUGGGAGACCACUAGGAAACACCAGGGGUACCCAGGU